GGAGAACAGACGAAGCUCCUUUCAAAGAGCCAGCAGGGGCUCCCCGCCCUGUGGUUACUGGAAAAGGUCACAUUUGGCGAUUCAGCCCACAGAACAAUGACAUUUCAAGGAUCAAAGGAAAGGUUAAAAUAUUCCUAUAAAUCUAUUCUCGGGACUUUUAAGUAUUUCCAAUGUAAAGGGAAAAUGUCAUUUCUUUUUCCCCUAGGAGUGGUGGAGGUGGGCUGCUGGUAAUGGAUCCACUCUCAUUUUUCUGGGGAGGAUGAACAGGGAGGAAGGAAAGAUUUGCUACAGGUCCCUCCAUAUGCAAAUGGCGGUGUAAUUAACCCCAAACGUCAUUUACUUAUGAAAACUGAAUCCCAAAUGCCCCCCCUCAACCAAGAGCUUCUCCAAGGAGAGGAACGGAGUGUUGAAUUCCAGAGCUCUCCUGCUCCUCUUCAGAGCAGCCCUUGGGCCGAAGCUGGCAAGGAGACCUCCAGAGCUGGGAUAGAGAGUCAGGUUGAGUCCACACAGCCAGAUACUCCCGACAGACCUGCCACUGCCUGCAGAUGCCCAUCGCACCCCUGCCUCCCCAUCUGCCAGUUGGUCUCUGGGCAGAGACGCCUCAGCUUCAUACCCCUUGCCCACCAAGCACCCUUGUCUGAAGAGCUCCAAGCUGGGAAUGGAGCUUCUGUCUCCCACAGCCAGCAGUGGAACCAGCGGUGGCUGAGUAACUGACAAACUGCAGGAGAGCCUCCAAGAAGAAGUGGAGAAGGGAGAAAAAGAUGAGGGACAGCUGGACUUUCUUUAGGAUCUGUGAGUGUGAGCGCACAUCUUCAUGUGCCGACAGGUUAGGGAGGCCCAAUCUCUCUUUGGUGACGGAGAAAGUGACAGAGGUUAGAUGUCAAUACAGUCUGCCGGGUUUAUGC
rnacentral:lncRNA from 1 species